rnacentral:rRNA from 1 species
CUACGAGUCGCACCAGUGAGGAAUAUUGCACAAUGGGGGGAACCCUGAUGCAGCAACGCCGCGUGGAGGAUGACGCAUUUCGGUGUGUAAACUCCUUUUAUAUGUCAAGAAAAUGACGGUAGCAUAUGAAUAAGCACCGGCUAACUCCGUGCCAGCAGCCGCGGUAAUACGGAGGGUGCAAGCGUUACUCGGAAUCACUGGGCGUAAAGGACGCGUAGGCGGGUUGGAAAGUCAGGUGUGAAAUCCUACAGCUUAACUGUAGAACUGCACUUGAAACUUCUAAUCUAGAGUAUGGGAGGGGGAGAUGGAAUUAGUGGUGUAGGGGUAAAAUCCGUAGAUAUCACUAGGAAUACCUAAAGCGAAGGCGAUCUCCUGGAACAUUACUGACGCUAAGGCGUGAAAGCGUGGGGAGCAAACAGGAUUAGAUACCAUAGUAGUC